AUGCCUAAAAUAUGUGAAAGUAAUUUCGUGAAUGUGAAUGGUACGAAUCCGAGCGAGUCAACUAAGAGGAUCGAGUUGAAUCCAUGGGAGCUCCAGUAUCUUCUGUCUGCUCUCAUCCAGACGGGUCUUCUCUUUCGCAAGCCUACACCCCCACAAGAGCAUAGCAUCAUAGAUCACUUGAAAACCUCCCUCUCUCGCACUCGACUUGUUCUAUCCAUUCGUCGCCCGCCUUGGCACCACCGUAAACGACGACAAUACCACUUGUUUCUUUAUCAACUGUAGUGGCGCUGGAGUUCAAUUUAUCCAUGCAGCCGCCAAUGGCGUCACCAUGGGGGACAUCCUUGAUCCUAUCUACGUUCCUAGGAUCAUGUCUUCCUUUUUCCCACUUCAUGAGACUCGGAGCUUCCAUGGCGUUUCUGAGCCACUACUUGCGGUGCAAGUGACGGAGCUGGUGGACGGCAUCUUUGUUGGUUGCACCAUGAAUCAUGUGGUGUCGGAUGGAACUUCCUUCCAACAUUUCUUCAAAAUCAUACAACAAUCAGGCUACUUGGACCGCGCUCUCUUCAACACUUAUGCAAAGCCAUCUCGAGGUUGUAUCAUGUCUCUCAAGGGAAUCCUAGACAAUCUGCACAAGGGUGAGACAACCAUUACAGAGUAUAUGCAGCUCAUUAAAAUGUGCAAUGAUGAGCUUCUCCUCACGAAUGUCGCCUACGAUAUUGACGAGCUCAUUCUUAAAAUUAUGUGGUCUUUGUGA